UUUUCGUUGGCCCCUGCGUUUUAUAACUCUUUUUACCGCAGCCAGGUGUUGGUUUUGAUCUCUGCUGAGCUGGAAUUUCUGCGUACAGCGAACUAAACAUCUGCUUUCUCUGCCGUGCUCCUGUGUCAUUUGGCUGAAGACUUAAUUAAGUAGUGGAUGUGAAGCUUAGAAAAGGGAGCCAGCUGAGUGUGCUCCUUGCAAGGAGCUCCCUUGAAGGGCUGGGCUGCGUGGGAUGAGCGUGGAAGCUGCUGGUUGCUCCAGCACUGAACCACGGACGGAGCUACACUUCAGGUGUGUGACGCAGCCCUUCAGACUGACGGACACCAGCGGUUAUGGGGGAAGUGCUCCCUUCCACACGGGGCUGGUGUCUCCGUCUGGCACCCCGGGAGGCACUGCCUGGGGACCGGGGGUCCCUCCUGGGAGAGGCUGGCUCCAUGCCUCCAGCCCCUGAUGUUCACACACAUGGGUGCGCACAGUGCGUGCCCCUGGGGUGGCUCAGCUGGGACGAGAGUUAAAUUACGGCUAGGUGAAGUCAUUUAGCUUUCUCUUUGUGGAAGAGGCUGCAAGUCCUAGUGCUGCUGAUUGCAACCCAGACGUCUCAAACUGGUGUACAGACCCAUGAAGUUGAUUGUUUUCUGCUGUGCAGCGUUCCCUUUUCCUUUGCAACAUUUCAAUGCAAAACGUGUUUUAGUGUUGACACAUCUCUUACAUGUCCUUUGGAUUUCUCAGAUCCACAAACCAAGCAUUUCAGAGGUAUUUAUUUGCCUAGAGGAGUUUUAAAUUUCCCAGCCAUCUGGGUUCAGAGAACUGGAUUUUUAAAGCAUUCUUCUUUUUGUUGCCUAUAGUGCUGCUAGGCUUGACACAAAGAACCCCAAAGGUGUUUUGGUAUCUAACUCCUCUGUAACUAUUUUUUU